GUAUGGAUCGAUUAGCCAUGCUAGUUGCACGAGUUUAGACUCGUGGCGGAAAGCUCAGUAACACGUGAUCAAACUACCCUAUGGAUUCGAAUAACCUCGGGAAACUGAGGCUAAUUCGGAAUAAGGCUCCAUCGCUGGAAUGCGUGGAGCUGGAAACGCUCCGGUGCCAUAGGAUGUGAUUGCGGCCGAUUAGGUAGACGGUGGGGUAACGGCCCACCGUGCCGAUAAUCGGUACGGGUUGUGAGAGCAAGAGCCCGGAAAUGGAUUCUGAAACAAGAAUCCAGGCCCUACGGGGCGCAACAGGCGCGAAAACUUUACACUGCACGACAGUGCGAUAAGGGAACUCCAAGUGCGAGGGCAUAACGUCCUCGCUUUUGUGUAUCGUAAGGUGGUACACGAAUAAAAGCUGGGCAAGACCGGUGCCAGCCGCCGCGGUAAUACCGGCAGCUCAAGUGAUGACCAAUUUUAUUGGGCCUAAAGCGUCCGUAGCCGGCCAGACAGGUCCGUCGGGAAAUCUGCUCGCUCAACGAGCAGGCGUCCGGCGGAAACCCGCUGGCUUGGGGCCGGAAGAUCCAAGGGGUACGUCUGGGGUAGGAGUGA
rnacentral:rRNA from 1 species